rnacentral:rRNA from 1 species
CCUACGGGAGUCAGCAGUGAGGAAUAUUGGUCAAUGGGCGCGAGCCUGAACCAGCCAAGCCGCGUGAGGGAAGACGGUCCUAUGGAUUGUAAACUUCUUUUGUCGGGGAGCAAAAGACGCCACGCGUGGCGUUCCGAGAGUACCCGAAGAAAAAGCAUCGGCUAACUCCGUGCCAGCAGCCGCGGUAAUACUGAGGAUGCGAGCGUUAUCCGGAUUUAUUGGGUUUAAAGGGUGCGCAGGCGGAAGAUCAAGUCAGCGGUAAAAGUGAGAGGCUCAACCUCUUCGAGCCGUUGAAACUGGUUGUCUUGAGUGAGCGAGAAGUAUGCGGAAUGCGUGGUGUAGCGGUGAAAUGCAUAGAUAUCACGCAGAACUCCGAUUGCGAAGGCAGCAUACCGGCGCUCAACUGACGCUGAUGCACGAAAGUGUGGGUAUCGAACAGGAUUAGAUACCCGUGUAGUC